rnacentral:rRNA from 1 species
GAUGAACGCUGGCGGCGUGCCUAAUACAUGCAAGUCGAACGGGAUAAGUAGCAAUACGUAUCUAGUGGCGAACGGGUGAGUAACGCGUUGGUGACCUGCCCCGAAGCGUGGGAUAACAGUUCGAAAGGAUUGCUAAUACCGCAUGUGGACACGAAGAUCAGAUGCUUUGUGUCUAAAGCAGUAAUGCGCUUUGGGAGGGACCUGCGUCCCAUCAGUUAGUUGGUAGGGUAAUGGCCUACCAAGACUUCGACGGGUAGGGGACCUGAGAGGGUGGUCCCCCA